rnacentral:rRNA from 1 species
UACGUAGGGUGCAAGCGUUGUCCGGAAUUAUUGGGCGUAAAGGGCUCGUAGGCGGUCCAUCGCGUCGGGAGUGAAAAGCUGGGGCUUAACCCCAGUCCUGUUUCCGAUACGGGUGGACUAGAGGUAGGUAGGGGAGAUCGGAAUUCCUGGUGUAGCGGUGAAAUGCGCAGAUAUCGGGAAGAACACCCGUGGCGAAGGCGGUUCUCUGGGACGGUACUGACGGCUGAGACGCGAAAGCGUGGGGAGCGAACAGG